rnacentral:rRNA from 1 species
AGUGAACGCUGGCGGUAGGCCUAACACAUGCAAGUCGAACGGCAGCACAGUAAGACUUUCCCUCUAGGGGGCGCGUGUCGGACGCGUGAGGGAUACAUCGGAAUCUGCCCAGUUGUGGGGGAGAACGCGGGGAGACUUACACUAUUACAGCAUACACCCUCCGCGGGAGAGAGGGGGAUCGCAUCACCUCUCGCGCGUUUAUGAGCCGAUGUGGGAUUAGCUAGUUGGCGGGGUAAUGGCCCACCAAGGCGACGAUCCGUAGCUGGUCUGAGAGGAUGAUCAGCCACACUGGAACUGAGACACGGUCCAGACUCCUACGGGAGGCAGCAGUGGGGAAUAUUGGACAAUGGGCGCAAGCCUGAUCCAGCCAUACCGCGUGGGUGAAGAAGGCCUUCGGGUUGUAAAGCCCUUUUGUUGGGAAAGAAAAGUAUCAGGCUAAUACCCUGCGAGGAUGACGGUACCCAAAGAAUAAGCACCGGCUAACUUCGUG